rnacentral:sRNA from 1 species
AGCAGCCGCGGUAAUUCCAGCUCCAAUAGCGUAUAUUAAAGUCGUUGCAGUUAAAAAGCUCGUAGUUGAAUUUCGGGAUCAGCAGGUUGGUCGUGCCUACGGUAUGAACUGGCCUUGCUGAUUCCUCCCUCUUGAUGAGCCGUAAUGCCAUUAAUUUGGUGUUGCGGGGAAUCAGGACUGUUACUUUAGAAAAAUUAGAGUGUUUAAAGCAGGCAAGCGCUUGAAUACAUUAGCAUGGAAUAAUGAAAUAGGACGUUUGAUCCUAUUUUGUUGGUCUCUAGGAUUGACGUAAUGAUUAAUAGGGAU